rnacentral:misc_RNA from 1 species
GGGCUAUCUUGUUUGUGCACAAGUACACAGCAGGAAGCACAUCCUCCGGAGACAAAGCUAGCAAGCUCCGAAACAUAUUGCACAACAUUGACGUUGCUUUUAUCUUCCCUUUUUCUUCCUUUACCAAUUCAAAAGUUCGUGCAAGAUGUAUGUAUGGAGUAGCCUGCCCCUUACUCCAGCAAGCAUGUUCCACGGGAGAGUAUUCCUCAUGGGGAAGUGAUACAUAAUUUACAGCAUUAUCAGCAAAGGGAACACCACACAACGACAAAUUGGGAUCAACAUCUCCUAAUAUUUUGGGUAAUUUAUCAUCUUUGGAAGAAGUGCAAACCUCUUUAGCACACUGAGGUUGCAACAAUUUGUUUGUUUUAGAAAUCCCAUCUCCAUUAGUCUCUCCUACAUCUUUGUAUUCUGAAAAAU